UACGUAGGGUGCGAGCGUUGUCCGGAAUUAUUGGGCGUAAAGGGCUCGUAGGCGGUUUGUCGCGUCGGGAGUGAAAUCAUCUGGCUUAACUGGGUGCUUGCUUUCGAUACGGGCAGACUAGAGGUAUGCAGGGGAGAACGGAAUUCCUGGUGUAGCGGUGAAAUGCGUAGAUAUCUGGAGGAACACCGGUGGCGAAGGCGGCAUCCUGGACCGGUAUUGACGCUGAUGCGCGAAAGCCAGGGGAGCAAACGGG
rnacentral:rRNA from 1 species